rnacentral:rRNA from 1 species
AACGAACGCUGGCGGCAGGCUUAACACAUGCAAGUCGAGCGCCCCGCAAGGGGAGCGGCAGACGGGUGAGUAACGCGUGGGAACGUACCCUUUUCUACGGAAUAACGCAUGGAAACGUGUGCUAAUACCGUAUGUGCCCUUCGGGGGAAAGAUUUAUCGGAAAAGGAUCGGCCCGCGUUGGAUUAGCUAGUUGGUGGGGUAAAGGCCUACCAAGGCGACGAUCCGUAGCUGGUCUGAGAGGAUGAUCAGCCACAUUGGGACUGAGACACGGCCCAAACUCCUACGGGAGGCAGCAGUGGGGAAUAUUGGACAAUGGGCGCAAGCCUGAUCCAGCCAUGCCGCGUGAGUGAUGAAGGCCCUAGGGUUGUAAAGCUCUUUCACCGGUGAAGAUAAUGACGGUAACCGGAGAAGAAGCCCCGGCUAACUUCGUGCCAGCAGCCGCCGUAAAAC